UGUGUCAGUAGGUGGCAGAGAGGAGAGAGGCUAUGUUUAUACUCUGUGUUCUUACCUAUGAACAUCUGAAUGAUUAAUAGCCUAACAUU
rnacentral:snoRNA from 14 species